rnacentral:rRNA from 1 species
UACGUAGGGCGCGAGCGUUGUCCGGAUUCACUGGGCGUAAAGGGCUCGUAGGCGGCCUGUCGCGUCGGCUGUGAAAGUCCGGAGCUCAACUCCGGGAUUGCAGCCGAUACGGGCAGGCUAGAGGGCGGUAGAGGGGAGUGGAAUUCCCGGUGUAGCGGUGAAAUGCGCAGAUAUCGGGAGGAACACCAGUGGCGAAGGCGGCUCCCUGGGCCGUCCCUGACGCUGAGGAGCGAAAGCGUGGGGAGCAAAC